AGAUGCUGAGAUAUUGUCUAAUGAGGAGGCUAAUGAUGAUGCAGAAUUCCAGCAAGAAGAGAAGAAGCACCUGUUGUUUUGGGUUUGGUUCAGUUUUCUGGAUCAACCUGAACCUACAGUUCAAUAUUGGUUCAAGUUAGACUUAAUUUUAAGUCCCCACUGGGUUCUUUUCGGGAGGUAUUUG